AGCAACGCCGCGUGAGUGAAGACGGCCUUCGGGUUGUAAAGCUCUGUUGUAAGGGAAGAACGGUAGAUAGAGAAUAUCUAAGUGACGGUACCUUACCAGAAAGCCACGGCUAACUACGUGCCAGCAGCCGCGGUAAUACGUAGGUGGCGAGCGUUAUCCGGAAUUAUUGGGCGUAAAGGGUGCGUAGGCGGCCUGUUAAGUAAGUGGUUAAAUUGUUGGGCUCAACCCAAUCCAGCCACUUAAACUGGCAGGCUAGAGUAUUGGAGAGGCAAGUGGAAUUCCAUGU
rnacentral:rRNA from 1 species